rnacentral:rRNA from 1 species
GAUGAACGCUGGCGGCGUGCUUAACACAUGCAAGUCGAACGGAAAGGCCCAAGCUUGCUUGGGUACUCGAGUGGCGAACGGGUGAGUAACACGUGGGUGAUCUGCCCUGCACUUCGGGAUAAGCCUGGGAAACUGGGUCUAAUACCGGAUAGGACCACUUCUUGGAUGUUGUGGUGGAAAGUUUUUUCGGUGUGGGAUGAGCUCGCGGCCUAUCAGCUUGUUGGUGGGGUAAUGGCCUACCAAGGCGUCGACGGGUAGCCGGCCUGAGAGGGUGUACGGCCACAUUGGGACUGAGAUACGGCCCAGACUCCUACGGGAGGCAGCAGUGGGGAAUAUUGCACAAUGGGCGCAAGCCUGAUGCAGCGACGCCGCGUGGGGGAUGACGGCCUUCGGGUUGUAAGCUCCCUUCGCUAGGGAUGAAGCGUUUUGUGACGGUACCUGGAGAAGAAGCACCGGCUAACUACGUG